CCGCGUGAGUGAUGAAGGCUUUCGGGUCGUAAAACUCUGUUGUUAGGGAAGAACAAGUGCUAGUUGAAUAAGCUGGCACCUUGACGGUACCUAACCAGAAAGCCACGGCUAACUACGUGCCAGCAGCCGCGGUAAUACGUAGGUGGCAAGCGUUAUCCGGAAUUAUUGGGCGUAAAGCGCGCGCAGGUGGUUUCUUAAGUCUGAUGUGAAAGCCCACGGCUCAACCGUGGAGGGUCAUUGGAAACUGGGAGACUUGAGUGCAGAAGAGGAAAGUGGAAUUCCAUGUGUAGCGGUGAAAUGCGUAGAGAUAUGGAGGAACACCAGUGGCGAAGGCGACUUUCUGGUCUGUAACUGACACUGAGGCGCGAAAGCGUGGGGAGCAAACAGGAUUAGAUACCCUGGUAGUCCACGCCGUAAACGAUGAGUGCUAAGUGUUAGAGGGUUUCCGCCCUUUAGUGCUGAAGUUAACGCAUUAAGCACUCCGCCUGGGGAGUACGGCCGCAAGGCUGAAACUCAAAGGAAUUGACGGGGGCCCGCACAAGCGGUGGAGCAUGUGGUUUAAUUC
rnacentral:rRNA from 1 species